UAUAGGAGCGCAGUUAUUUUGCAACAAUUAUCAUUUCUGCAACUCCACAUGCUGCUUGAUCCCAGAAAAGGAGUGUUGAAACAAAUCAAUAAAAGGAAUUCCAAAGGAGGUGAGGUCACCGAUACAUGUUGAAGUUCCAGUCACAUGGAUGCAUAUGUCAAGGCAUAUCGUUCUCAAAUUAAUACACAAAUUAAUGCACC
rnacentral:lncRNA from 1 species